rnacentral:rRNA from 1 species
ACGAACGCUGGCGGCGUGCCUAAUACAUGCAAGUAGAACGCUGAAGGAGGAGCUUGCUUCUCUGGAUGAGUUGCGAACGGGUGAGUAACGCGUAGGUAACCUGCCUGGUAGCGGGGGAUAACUAUUGGAAACGAUAGCUAAUACCGCAUAAGAGUAGAUGUUGCAUGACAUUUGCUUAAAAGGUGCAAUUGCAUCACUACCAUAUGGACCUGCGUUGUAUUAGCUAGUUGGUGAGGUAACGGCUCACCAAGGCAACGAUACAUAGCCGACCUGAGAGGGUGGUCGGCCACACUGGGACUGAGACACGGCCCAGACUCCUACGGGAGGCAGCAGUAGGGAAUCUUCGGCAAUGGACGGAAGUCUGACCGAGCAACGCCGCGUGAGUGAAGAAGGUUUUCGGAUCGUAAAGCUCUGUUGUAAGAGAAGAACGAGUGUGAGAGUGGAAAGUUCACACUGUGACGGUAUCUUACCAGAAAGGGACGGCUAACUACGUG